GAGGUUGUGGCUCAGCGGUAGAGUGCUCACCUAGCACAUGUGAGGCCCUGGGUUCCAUCCUCAGCACCACA
rnacentral:tRNA from 1 species